rnacentral:rRNA from 1 species
GUUAAUAUUCCUGUACUUGGUGUUACUGCGAAGGGGGGACGGAGAAGGCUAUGUUGGCCGGGCGACGGUUGUCCCGGUUUAAGCGUGUAGGCUGGUUUUCCAGGCAAAUCCGGAAAAUCAAGGCUGAGGCGUGAUGACGAGGCACUACGGUGCUGAAGCAACAAAUGCCCUGCUUCCAGGAAAAGCCUCUAAGCAUCAGGUAACAUCAAAUCGUACCCCAAACCGACACAGGUGGUCAGGUAGAGAAUACCAAGGCGCUUGAGAGAACUCGGGUGAAGGAACUAGGCAAAAUGGUGCCGUAACUUCGGGAGAAGGCACGCUGAUAUGUAGGUGAAGUCCCUUGCGGAUGGAGCUGAAAUCAGUCGAAGAUACCAGCUGGCUGCAACUGUUUAUUAAAAACACAGCACUGUGCAAACACGAAAGUGGACGUAUACGGUGUGACGCCUGCCCGGUGCCGGAAGGUUAAUUGAUGGGGUCAGCGCAAGCGAAGCUCUUGAUCGAAGCCCCGGUAAACGGCGGCCGUAACUAUAACGGUCCUAAGGUAGCGAAAUUCCUUGUCGGGUAAGUUCCGACCUGCACGAAUGGCGUAAUGAUGGCCAGGCUGUCUCCACCCGAGACUCAGUGAAAUUGAACUCGCUGUGAAGAUGCAGUGUACCCGCGGCAAGACGGAAAGACCCCGUGAACCUUUACUAUAGCUUGACACUGAACAUUGAGCCUUGAUGUGUAGGAUAGGUGGGAGGCUUUGAAGUGUGGACGCCAGUCUGCAUGGAGCCGGCCUUGAAAUACCACCCUUUAAUGUUUGAUGUUCUAACGUGGACCCGUGAUCCGGGUUGCGGACAGUGUCUGGUGGGUAGUUUGACUGGGGCGGUCUCCUCCUAAAGAGUAACGGAGGAGCACGAAGGUUGGCUAAUCCUGGUCGGACAUCAGGAGGUUAGUGCAAUGGCAUAAGCCAGCUUGACUGCGAGCGUGACGGCGCGAGCAGGUGCGAAAGCAGGUCAUAGUGAUCCGGUGGUUCUGAAUGGAAGGGCCAUCGCUCAACGGAUAAAAGGUACUCCGGGGAUAACAGGCUGAUACCGCCCAAGAGUUCAUAUCGACGGCGGUGUUUGGCACCUCGAUGUCGGCUCAUCACAUCCUGGGGCUGAAGUAGGUCCCAAGGGUAUGGCUGUUCGCCAUUUAAAGUGGUACGCGAGCUGGGUUUAGAACGUCGUGAGACAGUUCGGUCCCUAUCUGCCGUGGGCGCUGGAGAACUGAGGGGGGCUGCUCCUAGUACGAGAGGACCGGAGUGGACGCAUCACUGGUGUUCGGGUUGUCAUGCCAAUGGCACUGCCCGGUAGCUAAAUGCGGAAGAGAUAAGUGCUGAAAGCAUCUAAGCACGAAACUUGCCCCGAGAUGAGUUCUCCCUGACCCUUUAAGGGUCCUGAAGGAACGUUGAAGACGACGACGUUGAUAGGCCGGGUGUGUAAGCGCAGCGAUGCGUUGAGCUAACCGGUACUAAUGAACCGUGAGGCUUAACCUUACAACGCCGAAG